AACGCUAGCUACAGGCUUAACACAUGCAAGUCGAGGGGCAGCGCAGUGUAGCAAUACACGGGCGGCGACCGGCGCACGGGUGCGUAACGCGUAUCCAACCUUCCCGAUACUCUUGGAUAGCCUUCCGAAAGGGAGAUUAAUACAAGAUGGUGUUUCACUUCCGCAUGUUAUUGAAACUAAAGAUUUAUCGGUAUCGGAUGGGGAUGCGUGACAUUAGAUAGUAGGCGGGGUAACGGCCCACCUAGUCUACGAUGUCUAGGGGUUCUGAGAGGAAGGUCCCCCACACUGGAACUGAGACACGGUCCAGACUCCUACGGGAGGCAGCAGUGAGGAAUAUUGGUCAAUGGUCGGAAGACUGAACCAGCCAAGUAGCGUGAAGGAUGAAGGUUCUAUGGAUUGUAAACUUCUUUUAUACGGGAAUAAAACCUCCCACGUGUGGGAGCUUGUAUGUACCGUAUGAAUAAGCAUCGGCUAACUCCGUGCCAGCAGCCGCGGUAAUACGGAGGAUGCGAGCGUUAUCCGGAUUUAUUGGGUUUAAAGGGAGCGUAGACGGGAUGUUAAGUCAGUUGUGAAAGGCUGCGGCUCAACCGCAGCACUGCAGUUGAUACUGGCGUCCUUGAGUGCGGUUGAGGUGUAUGGAAUUCGUGGUGUAGCGGUGAAAUGCUUAGAUAUCACGAAGAACUCCGAUUGCGAAGGCAGUACACUAAGCCGUAACUGACGUUGAGGCUCGAAAGUGUGGGUAUCAAACAGGAUUAGAUACCCUGGUAGUCCACACGGUAAACGAUGAAUACUCGCUGUUGGCGAUAUACUGUCAGCGGCCAAGCGAAAGCAUUAAGUAUUCCACCUGGGGAGUACGCCGGCAACGGUGAAACUCAAAGGAAUUGACGGGGGCCCGCACAAGCGGAGGAACAUGUGGUUUAAUUCGAUGAUACGCGAGGAACCUUACCCGGGCUUAAAUUGCAGAGGACAGGCGCAGAGAUGUGCUCUUCUUCGGACCUCUGUGAAGGUGCUGCAUGGUUGUCGUCAGCUCGUGCCGUGAGGUGUCGGCUUAAGUGC
rnacentral:rRNA from 1 species